rnacentral:rRNA from 1 species
UACGUAGGGUGCAAGCGUUGUCCGGAAUUAUUGGGCGUAAAGAGCUCGUAGGCGGUUUGUCGCGUCUGCUGUGAAAACUCAGGGCUUAACCCUGAGCUUGCAGUGGGUACGGGCAGACUAGAGUGCGGUAGGGGAGACUGGAAUUCCUGGUGUAGCGGUGAAAUGCGCAGAUAUCAGGAGGAACACCGGUGGGCGAAGGCGGGUCUCUGGGCCGUAAC